rnacentral:pre_miRNA from 1 species
UUUUUAGUAUAAGUGUGUCCUAUGGGUAUUUGGGAUAUACUUAUACUAAAA